rnacentral:rRNA from 1 species
GACGAACGCUGGCGGUGUGCUUAAUACAUGCAAGUCGAACGGCCCUUCGGGGCAGUGGCGGACGGCUGAGUAACACGUAGGUAACCUGCCCUUUACUGGGGGAUAACAGCGGGAAACCGCUGCUAAUACCGCAUAAGCCUGGGGUUGAAAUACCCUUGGUUAAAGAUUCAUCGGUAAAGGAUGGGCCUGCGUCUGAUUAGCUUGUUGGUAGGGUAAUGGCCUACCAAGGCAAUGAUCAGUAGUUGGUCUGAGAGGAUGACCAGCCAGAGUGGGACUGAGACACGGCCCACACUUCUACGGAAGGCAGCAGUAGGGAAUUUUGCGCAAUGGGCGAAAGCCUGACGCAGCAACACCGCGUGCGGGAUGAAGGCCCUCGGGUUGUAAACCGCUGUCAGCAGGGAAUAAUUCUGACUGUACCUGCAGAGGAAGCACCGGCUAACUCCGUGCCAGCAGCCGCGGUAAGACGGAGGGUGCAAGCGUUGUCCGGAAUUAUUGGGCGUAAAGAGUUCGUAGGCGGUUUGUUAAGUCUGGUGUUAAAGCCCGAGGCUCAACCUCGGCAUGGCAUUGGAUACUGGCAGGCUAGAGUGCGGUAGAGGUCUCGGGAAUUCCAGGUGUAGCGGUGAAAUGCGUAGAUAUCUGGAGGAACACCGGUGGCGAAAGCGCGAGACUGGGCCGUAACUGACGCUGAGGAACGAAAGCCAGGGGAGCGAAAGGGAUUAGAUACCCCUGUAUUCCUGGCUUGUAAACGAUGGAUACUAGGUGUUGGUGGAUUCGACCCCAUCAGUGCCGUAGCUAACGCGAUAAGUAUCCCGCCUGGGGAGUACGCUCGCAAAGAGUGAAACUCAAAGGAAUUGACGGGGGCCCGCACAAGCGGUGGAACAUGUGGUUUAAUUCGAUGCAACGCGAAGAACCUUACCUGGGCUUGACAUCCUCGGAACCCUCUGGAAACAGGGGGGUGCCUUCGGGAGCCGAGAGACAGGUGGUGCACGGUUGUCGUCAGCUCGUGUCGUGAGAUGUUGGGUUAAGUCCCGCAACGAGCGCAACCCUCGUGGUCUGUUGUUACAGGUCGAAAGAUGCUGAACCCUCAGGCCAGACUGCCGGUGACAAACCGGAGGAAGGUGGGGAUGACGUCAAAUCAUCACGCCCCUUAUGUCCAGGGCUACACACGUGUUACAAUGGGCGCGGACAAUGGGCAGCUUGGCAGCGAUGUCCGGCAAAUCCCACAAACCGCCCCUCAGUUCGGAUCGCAGUCUGCAACUCGACUGCGUGAAGUCGGAAUCGCUAGUAAACGCAGAUCAGCACGCUGCGUUGAAUACGUUCCCGGGCCUUGUACACACCGCCCGUCACACCACGAAAGAGGGUUAUGCCCGAAGUCGGUGUCCCAACCGUAAGGAGGGAGCCGCCUAAGGUGGAACUCUUGAUUGGGGUG